rnacentral:rRNA from 1 species
CUGCAGAGUUGUGGCGAGUAGAGGGGGUAAGACGUAGGGCGCGGGGGUGGGACGGGAUCAUGGAGGUGAAAGAGCGCGGAGGCGGCGCGGUAAGUGCGCGGGGAAAUGCAAAGGAGCAACCUGUGGAUGUGGGCGGAUACUGCCGGGGUAGAGUACGGAAGAGGCGAGUGGAAUUCCUGGUGUGGCGGUGGAAUGCGCAGAUAUCAGGAGGAACACCAACGGCGAAGGCAGCUCGCUGGGACGGUACUGACGCUGAGGCGCGAAAGCGUGGGGAGCGAACAGGAUUAGAUACCCGAGUAGU